rnacentral:tRNA from 1 species
GAGGGUGUAGCUCAGCGAUAGAGUGCAUGCUUAGCAUGCAUGAGGUCCUGGGUUCAGUCCCCAGUAUUUCCA